CCAUCCACUCCACCCAUUUCCAAAAUAGUGAACAAGACCAUAGCAGUAGCAUUCCCAGAACGUGAACGCCACCGAUUGGCUGCCGAUUCGUGAACGCCACCGCGCCUCCAUUUUCUGAACACCACUACGCCGCCGUUUCAUCCCGCCGCACCACCGUUUAAUCCGGUUUUAUCCGGUUUACUCAUGCGGUUCGACCAAUGACCCAGUGGUUCGACCGAUGAACCAGUGACCCAGUAUCCUUACCGGUUUGAUGACCGGUCCGGUUUUUAAAACAUUGGUACUG